AGAAAUCUUCACCUAGAUCUCUCUCUCUCUCUCUCUCUCUCUCUCUCUCUCUCUCUCUCUGAAUUAUUCAGAUUGUAUACAAUUACCAUGUGAGAGAGAUCCAUGAGGAAGUAGAAGCAGUAAGUCCUGUCAUGCUUUUCCACAGCUUUCUUGAACUUCUUGCAUCUUAAUUAAUCAAUGUCUCUUUAUAUAUAUGGCAUAUGCAAUCGUAUGUAAAUCAUAUACAUAUAGAAGUUCAAGAAAUCUGUGGGAGAACAUGGCAAGUCUAGGACUUAAUUUGUCAAGUACUGAAUCUCCUAGCUAGCCAGGAAUUACUGCUCGGUGUGGGUUGUUCAGGACCAACUGCUCCAUUGACCGCAUCCGCACUCUUCGACAAGCCAACCAAAGUGCCGAUCACCUAGUGAGACUUGGAGCUGAGCAAGACGAAGAUCUCAUUUUGUGCUUGAAGACGCCAUGGGGACGAGUUGGCUUAGGGAUUAGCCCGAGUUGAUUUUGUAUUGCGUACCGAUCUUGCGUUGUGCUUAUACCCUGCCAUUCCGAAGCACCUAAAUUUUUUUUUCCUCCGAAUCAGCUGAGUAGCAAGAAUGAAAAGGAGUUCACCUCCAACUCUAAGUGGGUGUUUGGUGCUGGUUUUUUUAAUGAAUUCUGGAUUUUU